ensembl:miRNA
AGCGUGGUUGUGGUCCAGUGCUGUGUGGAAGACUAGUGAUUUUGUUGUUCUGAUGUAGACGACAACAAGUCACAGCCGGCCUCACAGCGCGGGCUCC